GACGAACGUUGGCGGCGUGCUUAAUACAUGCAAGUCAACUGAAGCAGUGGUAGCAAUAUCGCUGUGGAGGUGGCGCACGGGUGAGUAACACGUAGGUAAUCUGCCUUCAGGUCUGGCAUAACUCCGGGAAACCGGGGCUAAUAGCAGAUGAUGCAGCGGCUCGACAUCGAGACAGUUGUUAAAGCUAUGGCGCCUGAAGAUGAGCCUGCGUCUGAUUAGCUAGUUGGCGGGGUAACGGCCCACCAAGGCAACGAUCAGUAGCUGGUCUGAGAGGAUGAUCAGCCACACUGGAACUGAGACACGGUCCGGACUCCUACGGGAGGCAGCAGUAAGGAAUAUUGCUCAAUGGGAGAAAUCCUGAAGCAGCAACGCCGCGUGAGGGACGAAGGGCUUUUGCUUGUAAACCUCUGUAGUGAGAGAAAAAAAUCCCAAUCUUUGGGACAUGAUGGUAUCUCAAAAGUAAGCCCCGGCUAACUACGUG
rnacentral:rRNA from 1 species